CUCAUCGUGAUUCGUGCAAAUCCUAAAACCCUCCUUAAACCCCCGGAACACACCACUCACAUCGCACAAACACAAAACACCUUGGUCCAAUAAAAAUACUCUCUCUCUCUCUCUCUCUCUCUCUCAAAUACUUUAGAGGGAGAGAGAGGAAUCAAAUCAAGGGAAAAAAAGACAAAAGGACGCAAUGAUGGUAGUUGCUGCUGCAGCUCCAACCCAAGCGGCUCCUCAUGGCUCUUGUCCCUCGUGCCGGAGGCACAUCUCAUCGGAGAUUCGUUUCCACUCCUUAACGAGAGGGAGCAGUGAUGCUUGCUUGAGGGACUUCGCACUGUUCAAGUUUCACGCAGGAGUGAAAUCGCUGUUCUGCACAUUGCUGCUGGAGUACAUUAACCGUUAAGCAGUGUGUGGAGUAGGGAAUGAAGCUGUUGGUCCGUUGAGCAUUUAAAAAAAUGUUACAACUUGAUAUCUCUUGCUCAAGAAUUCGCAGAUCUUGACAUGUAUUUUGGAUUGUCGUCAUUGUACUAGAACUCCAUGGUCAUUCUUUAUGCUGAUUCUGCAAUUGCAUCUGCUACGAUUAAUCUAAUCUUUAAUUUAAUUUUCUCAUUCAGAGUUGUCA